UAUUCAGUCUUUCUUUGCCAUUGAUACUCC
rnacentral:piRNA from 1 species